rnacentral:rRNA from 1 species
CCUACGGGAGGCAGCAGUGGGGAAUUUUGGACAAUGGGCGCAAGCCUGAUCCAGCAAUGCCGCGUGAGUGAAGAAGGCCUUCGGGUUGUAAAGCUCUUUUGUCAGGGAAGAAACGGGUCUUUCUAAUACAGAGAUCUAAUGACGGUACCUGAAGAAUAAGCACCGGCUAACUACGUGCCAGCAGCCGCGGUAAUACGUAGGGUGCAAGCGUUAAUCGGAAUUACUGGGCGUAAAGCGUGCGCAGGCGGUUUUGUAAGUUUGUCGUGAAAUCCCCGGGCUCAACCUGGGAAUGGCGAUGAAGACUGCAAGGCUAGAGUUUGGCAGAGGGGGGUAGAAUUCCACGUGUAGCAGUGAAAUGCGUAGAUAUGUGGAGGAACACCGAUGGCGAAGGCAGCCCCCUGGGUCAAAACUGACGCUCAUGCACGAAAGCGUGGGGAGCAAACAGGAUUAGAUACCCUGGUAGUCCACGCCCUAAACGAUGUCUACUAGUUGUCGGGUCUUAAUUGACUUGGUAACGCAGCUAACGCGUGAAGUAGACCGCCUGGGGAGUACGGUCGCAAGAUUAAAACCUUAAAGUAGUAAUUCGACGGCGUGAGACGUCGACGACGACGACGACGGAGGGAGGAGG